UACGGAGGAUGCAAGCGUUAUCCGGAUUCAUUGGGUUUAAAGGGUGCGCAGGCGGAAUGAUAAGUCAGUGGUGAAAUCCUACAGCUCAACUGUAGAACUGCCAUUGAUACUGUUGUUCUUGAGUACAUUUGUAGUGGGCGGAAUGUGUCAUGUAGCGGUGAAAUGCUUAGAGAUGACACAGAACACCGAUCGCGAAGGCAGCUCACUAAACUGUAACUGACGCUCAGGCACGAAAGCGUGGGUAGCAAACAGG
rnacentral:rRNA from 1 species